UGUCUGAUUUAACCUGUGGCUAAGAUCCGUGACAUGCCAUAAUGGACCAGCGUGCUCACGCCUGCUUUCAGCACAGACACAAAGCGAGGUUCAGUGUCCAUGGGACCUACGCCUACUUUCAGCACAGACACAAAGCGAGGUUCAGUGUCCAUGGGACCUACGCCUACUUUCAGCACAGACACAAAGCGAGGUGCAGUGUCCAUGGGACCUACGCCUACUUUCAGCACAGACACAAAGCGAGGUGCAGUGUCCAUGGGACCUACGCCUACUUUCAGCACAGACACAAAGCGAGGUUCAGUAUCUAUGGGACCUACG